rnacentral:misc_RNA from 1 species
AAAAGAAGAAAAAAAAAAAAGCAAGAUAUGAUUAACAUGUCAAGGAGAAAAAGAGCAUAAGAGGUAUAAAGAAUCAUUCUUCUCAUCUGAGAUGGAACUUCCAUAAAAUAUACACACUCAGUACAAAGACUCCUUCCACCGCAAUUGACAUGGAACGUCCUUAUCCAGCCUACCUUUAAUGAAAUGGUGCUUUAGAAGGAAAAUUUUUAUGACAAUAUGGACCAUUCAAUUUGUCUUCUUAAUGGGUAGAUAGUUGAUGCUGUACCAAAAUCUUUAUAUCUUGAAGGGGGAAAAAAAAAGAAUUUUCAUAAGAGCUUUGUUGAUUUGUCAACAUGGAACUUGUUCUAUGCAAUAAGGACUUCAGAUAAAAAAUCAAUUGUACACAGGAAUUUUACACAGGAAUUUUAAGAAAAAAACUCAAGAAUUCAAUAAACCACAUAUCAGUAGAUAAAAAGGAUCAUUUACUAGAAAAAUCAGGACCCACAAGCAACUUCAGUGAAAGCUUCUAACAAGAAGUUCGUGCCAUAAUAAAUUCUCUUGCAUUUGUCCCCAUUCACAAAUACUUUACAUGCUUUUCUUUCCUUUCACAAACUAUUUUCAUUUUACCAACGAAAACAAAAUUCCAUAAACUUAAUAUAAAUUGUUUUGACAAGUACUUUGCACUACGUUGUUAAAGAAUUCCAUCAUGCUUUCUCUCAAACAAAAUGAGGCCUAUUUUACAUCAGAGAAGAAAAGAUGAUCCAGAACACAGCUGACUAAUGAUGAAGGCAUGCAUGAUUGAUUUAGAUAUGCUUUUUCCUUUUACUUAUCUUUUAACAUUUUGACUACACAUAACUUGAAGCUCAUAGAAAGGAUUAACAAUCACUCAUUCUGAUCUGCUGAUCCGUUUAUGGUAAUAUCAAAUGCCUAACAAAACCAAAUAAUAUUAUUUUGUGCUUACCUCUAAAAUUACAACUCCAAGAGCAACCCACCUCACAAUAUUCCAGUUUUCUCUCAGGAAAUCAUAUAUCAGGUCAAAAACACCAGUUUUGUCAGUAGGAAGUUCUUCUUUCCAACUUUUGUCAAAGAAAAUGAAGGCUGCACAUCCCAAUUCUACCAAUAUCAACAAGAUAACCAAUACUGAAUACUGUGUUUGCUCAAGGAAAUCAGUCAUCAUAAACUGAAAAGGCAGGAAAUUUAUCCAUGUAAAGUGUACCAAAUAUUUUUCAGUCCAAUAAGAGGCAUCCCCUUUGGAUAAACAUAGAAGUUAAUGUAAAGGUUUCAACAAAUUUAUCAUAUUUCAGAAGUAGGAAACAAAUUACGCAAAAUUUAGAAGUCAGGUAGAACUGAUGCAUAAAAUCUAAAACUAAAAUGAUGGUUAAGUGGAGAAUAUUUCUUUUAUGCUUUGACUUUUUAUAUAGUGAUAGCAUAUUUUGAGAAUUUGAGGGAACUGAGAGAAUUAAAUGAAAAGAUGACAUCUCAAUCUCAUACUGCAUAAUUCAGCUGAUAAUCUUCACAAUGACAUAGGCUAUCGUAUAGACACAAGUAUUCUAAUAUUAGUUCUAAUAAGUUAUAGCCUAAAAUUUGUAAUCAGGAUACACAACUGAGGCAGCAUCCAUUCCGUGUUAUAGAUCCAAUACAACCAAAACAAGAGAUGAUGAAGAGAACCACUCCUACACCAAUAAAUAAGUAAAUAAACCAAGGUUUUGGCAGCUUAUCAAGGAUACUUUCCAAAAAUGAUACAGCUAUAAGCAUUGGACGACCAAGAUAUAUCAAACCUGGACCACCACUCACAGGAGCCAUUGAUACAUCAUCACCUGCUCUUUUAUACUCAACAAAUAAGUAAAUCCCAUAACCAACCAUGGCAAGACCCACAAGGGUCAGAAAGAAGUUGAGGAGCUUCAGUAUGCACUCCAAGCACCCUCUACAAGCCAUAUUCUCUAAAGCUUCCACAAAUCCCUCGAAUUUCAGCUCAAUCCUUCUAUUUCAUCAAUUCACUGGCGUACUACCUUCAUUAGAAACCCACAUUAACACUACAAUUCAAUAAUUUAGAGGUUAAAGCAUCAUAUUAUCAUUAGCCAAAAUUAAAUCACAAAUUAUGAAAAGUAUAUAUAUAUCUAAACAAGAAAUAAAAAAAAAAAUUAUAUGCUCAAUCCAAUGUUUGAAUUUUAUAUUGUCCAUUACUCAUGAUCCAGCCCUAACAAUCAAUUGUAAGAAGAGAAAAAGAGGGGAGGAAAAAGAGCAGAUAAAGUUGACCAUAACAUCCAAAAAAAAAAUUCCGAAAUAAGAAUUUUGUUUUCCAUUCCCAAGUUUUCUCAGCAACCAAACAAAGCUUCAGGUAUAUGACAUCACAAAAUCACAAAAAAUAAAAGUAAUUAAACAGAAAUUAUUGACAGCAAUCAACUUCCAUCGCAUCAAUUUCAAUUCAUUCAAUUAACUUAAAAGACCCAAACAAGCUCCAAUAAUUACAAAUGUAAAUUAAGAAAUUUCGAUUGAAAGAAUCUCACAGCAAUUUAGCUUCGGAUCAUGCUAAGAUAAUUAAGCGAUUGAAAAACAUAUAGAUUACAGGAAUAAACAGGGAAUCGAAGAAAACUUUACGGAUUUCGAAUAUUUCUCGGAUGAUUUUGAGCUUUUUCGGGUUUUCGUUUUUCCCCUCAGUUCUUCACAGCGAAAGGAGGAGAGAGA